CCUCGGGGGGCAGCAGUGGGGAAUAUUGGACAAUGGGCGAAAGCCUGAUCCAGCCAUGCCGCGUGUGUGAAGAAGGCCUUCGGGUUGUAAAGCACUUUCAGUGGGGAAGAAAGCCUUGGGGCUAAUACCCUCGAGGAAGGACAUCACCCACAGAAGAAGCACCGGCUAACUCCGUGCCAGCAGCCGCGGUAAUACGGAGGGGGCGAGCGUUAAUCGGAAUUACUGGGCGUAAAGCGCGCGUAGGCGGUCUGAUAAGCCGGUUGGGAAAGCCCCGGGCUCAACCUGGGAACGGCAUCCGGAACUGUCAGGCUAGAGUGCAGGAGAGGAAGGUAGAAUUCCCGGUGUAGCGGUGAAAUGCGUAGAGAUCGGGAGGAAUACCAGUGGCGAAGGCGGCCUUCUGGACUGACACUGACGCUGAGGUGCGAAAGCGUGGGUAGCAAACAGGAUUAGAUACCCGAGUAGUC
rnacentral:rRNA from 1 species